UCAUUGGUGCCUCUGGGUUUACACUGAAUAUGAUGCAAGAAGAGUCUAUCAAUAUGGCUGAGGAGGGCAGUGACAGAGCAGCCUUGGUGGAUAUCCGGCAUCCAGCUGGGAUCAAUCUUCCACAGCAGACAACAGGACACUGAACUCUUCAAAGACCUACUUCACAGCUAAACUUUGUCUUCUGGUCUUUUUUUAUUUUUUAAAAUUUUUUUUUAGAGGGAGCUAAACCUACUGACUUUAAUGUUCCAAAUGAAUAAUGUUACAAGUUUCUCUUUUUAAAUCAAAGAAAUUAACUACAAAAAGUAUGUUUUUUUCCUUCAGAGAGCGUUUGCAUGUAAAACUAGUGAGAAAUUUUUCUCCUAAGCUGCAUUGUUGUUAAAGCCAAUGAGUUAAAGGAAUUCCAACUCCUGUAGGUGAGAGCACACAGUCAGAGUUUAUUGCAGUCACCUGGGUUUCAGAAAUAAUGAGACACACUCCAGCCAGUGAUUCCUCCCACUCUGUGAAAACUCAAAGGUAGUUUUCUGUGACAUUUUAUACUGUUUCAGGAGGGAACUCCUUGCAGAAACCUGGGGAUGAAGAAGAGCAUCCAGCCAUUCUAAGGUUAGCAGAAAGACAUAAAAGAGGGCAGCUGCCCUAAUCAUCUCUGAAGCAGCCAAGCAGAAAAGUUUUAACAUCCAGGGCCCUUUUUCUCUCUCUCUCUCUCCUUCUCUAAAAGUGGGAGUACAAGUGGGAGUAAAGCAGCCUGAAGGAAGAGAUACAUUGGUGGAAUACAUACAGUUGCUGGGGCUGGAUGUGGAGGGGACCCAAGGACUAUGGGAAGUACCCCAGUAAAUUCCGGGAAAUGUUAGAUCUCUGGGUGAUAACUCUAAUUAAGAACUCCUACGAGAUCCUGUAAAAGGCAUCUGCAAAGACGCAGAACUCACUCAUGUGGAUGAGGUUCACUGAGGAUUCUGAAGCUGCAUUCCUGGCAUGAAGACAUUUGGUUACCCCUUAUCAGCAUCACCAGCACUUUGGUACAUUAGUCGUGCUGAAAUUGUCUUCCUUUCUGGAACGAAAGUUAAUCCUUUGUGUGAAACAACAAUAGCAAAUAGAAAGACAGAAAUCCUGAAUCAUCCUCUGCAUCACAUCACUGCAUUUGCACAAGGAUGCUGGCUGGGCCCAACAGGCUGGUGGGCUGAAACACUUUUGGCUGCAGAGAAGGGAUUAAACUUGGACUCAUUAAGUGACUGUAGCUGGAAGAUAUGACUUUGGGCUGAAUGGCUUUAAAUAGUUUACAGGAGACCUUGUGGUAGUGAUAAAACUGAUGUAGUCAUUUCUAUUCUAAGCUUUAAAACUGGAGGAAUGUUAAACAGAUGCCAAGAAGAAGAGAAAAUUAAUCUUUAGCUAUUGAUUAAAGAUUCUGCAGACCUGAAAAGAACUGUAAAAGUAAAUAAAUGUUUUUUUUUAUUAAACCUUUGUCCUGUU
rnacentral:lncRNA from 1 species